rnacentral:rRNA from 1 species
CGACUGUUUACCACAAACACAGGUGCCUGCUAAAGAGAAAUCUGACGUAUAGGUGCUGACACCUGCCCAGUGCCGGAAGGUUAAGGAAGGAUGUCCGGAGCAAUCCAAAGCAUUCGACCGAAGCCCCGGUGAACGGCGGCCGUAACUAUAACGGUCCUAAGGUAGCGAAAUUCCUUGUCGGGUAAGUUCCGACCCGCACGAAAGGUGUAACGAUUUGGGCACUGUCUCAACGAGGGACCCGGUGAAAUUGAAGUACCUGUGAAGAUGCAGGUUACCCGCGACUGGACAGAAAGACCCCAUGGAGCUUUACUGUAACCUGACAUUGGGUUCUGAUACAUCACGUACAGGAUAGGUGGGAGGCAUGGAAGCGAGGACGCUAGUCUUCGUGGAGCCGCCGUUGGGAUACCACCCUUGAUGUAUCGGAAUUCUAACCGUAGGAGUAACGAAACUCGGGACAGUGUCAGGCGGGCAGUUUGACUGGGGCGGUCGCCUCCCAAAGAGUAACGGAGGCGCCCAAAGGUUCCCUCAGCGCGGCCGGAAAUCGCGCGAAGAGUGUAAAGGCAGAAGGGAGCUUGACUGAGAGCCAAACACGGCAAUCAGGUACGAAAGUAGGGCUUAGUGAUCCGGUGGCAUCCAAGUGGAAGGGCCAUCGCUCAACGGAUAAAAGCUACCCUGGGGAUAACAGGCUAAUCUCUCCCAAGAGUCCAUAUCGACGGGGAGGUUUGGCACCUCGAUGUCGGCUCAUCACAUCCUGGGGCUGAAGUCGGUCCCAAGGGUUGGGCUGUUCGCCCAUUAAAGUGGUACGUGAGCUGGGUUCAGAACGUCGUGAGACAGUUCGGUCCCUAUCCAUCGCGGGCGCAAGAGAUUUGAAGGGGGCUGCUCCUAGUACGAGAGGACCGGAGUGGACGAACCAAUGGUGUACCAAUUAUCUCGCCAGAGGUAUAGUUGGGUAGCUACGUUCGGAAAGGAUAAACGCUGAAAGCAUCUAAGCGUGAAACCAGCCUUAAGAUGAGAUCUCUCAUAGAGCAAUCUAGUAAGACACCUUGGAGAAGACGAGGUUGAUAGGUCGGGAGUGUAAGUACAGUAAUGUAUUCAGCGGACCGAUACUAAUAUGUCGAGGGCUUGACUUU